GCACAGAAAUUCUAAUUCUAUUGAUCAUUCCCAAAGGCACAGAUACUCUGAUUUUAUUGAUCAUUCCAAAAUGAUCAGACAUUCUGUUUUUAUAGAAGAUAUUCUGGUUUUAUAGAACAGAUAUUCUGAUUUUACUGAGAUUCCCAAAGGCACAGAGAUCCUUGUUUUAUUGAGAUUCCCAAAGGCAC
rnacentral:lncRNA from 1 species